ACAACAUAAACUCAAAAAAUGGCAUUAAAAUCGGAACCAUCUGUGCGUAAAUGACGCAUCGCGCUCCGUGGCCUGGCUCUUUCUUUCAUAGAUGUUGGCAUAUAAAAUAAAUUUGGCCCACAAAACUGAAUAUUAUAAUAUCCGUAUGUCGGCUUAAAGUAGAUCACGCAUCUGAGCACUGAAACAAAUCAUCUGUUCAGCCGCAGCAGCUGCAGCAAGACGGACAGAGGACACGGAGACGUGUCCAGGUCGAGCUGUGCGAGAAAUAAGAGGAAGAAAGAAAAGGAGGGAGACACAUUACAUAUCUUGUUAACUUCAUCAUGUGUGUUUAUUUACUAGAUAUUUAAUUUAAUUUGAUGCAGUUUCAGCUGUAUUGAUUCGGUCAGGUUGUGUGCCCAAACGCGUGCCAAACGCGUGCCAAACGCGCUCAUCAGAUCAGAUAUAGAUCAGAAUAUAUCGAUAUAGAUCUAAAUGUAUGUGCUGACUCAGAUUAAUAGUUGAUGAUGAUUAUUUAUUGCACUGAAAUCUGCCUGACACUGUGGAAACCUGCCGGUGAGGCAUCGGUGACGUAUGUCGAUACGCCGCCGGUCUACCAAAAUACUACUAGACCAGCUGCGUUCCGCCUUGCGCUGAAAGCUGACCAGGUUUGAAUCGGCGAGCUUUCAGCGCACGUUACACGCCGGUGGCGAGCACGAAAAUGUCACUGCACCAGCUGAUUCUGUCAACACCUCCCCCUGCCACGCCACCACGCCCAGCUUGGCGGAUCUCGGCUCGCUUCCGUGCGACUCAGUCCACGAAAAUACCAAACUCGCCUU